CUGUCAUCAUCCCCUGUGAGAAUCUCAUAGUUCCCACCCUCUUUGACUCACAUAGGUCACCAUGGAUACAACACCUCUACCCUUAACCCACAGUGGAGGAGCAACAGCUGUUGCACUGCACUUGGGAAUUUUGCCAUUCUCUCUUCUAUAUAAAAUGUACUGGUGAAACUGUUCAGAUAAUGUCACAACUGUUUUCAAAAGAUUAGAGGGGAAAACAUGUUAAAAGAAUCACCUGAAAUAUUGAGCAAUAGCAAAGGACUAAAAUUUAAUUUAAACUGUAAAAUGAGAUAACAAGCAACAAACAUAGUAUAAUACUAUAAUUACUGUAAUAAGAGGUUACAGAGUUUUCUUUAAAGUCUCUCCUAGCCAAAAUGAUUUUUCAAU
rnacentral:lncRNA from 1 species